rnacentral:lncRNA from 1 species
AGUCUAGUAUUUGGUGAACUACUCACCUUCAGAGUUCACACUUUUCCGUACCAGCCUUGCACUGCCCUCCCAUUGCCUUCAUUUUAUCAGGUACACUGGACUCUGCUUUUCUAUCAUUCUUUUUUCUGUUUUUCUCCUUUCCCAACCACCUUCACUCAUCCUCAAACGUGGAGCCACCCUCCUCUGAUUGAUGGGGUCGGACUGAUUCAACACUUGCCUUGCACGAGUUUCUCCUUCACCUAUUAUGAGGCAAAAUAGUGGAAAAGGUCACUAGAAGAGGUUGAUAAAAGAGAACAGAAGAAAGCCAG